rnacentral:rRNA from 1 species
GAGUUUGAUCAUGGCUCAGAAUGAACGCUGGCGGCGUGCCUAACACAUGCAAGUCGAGCGAGAAAGUCUCUUCGGAGAUAAGUACAGCGGCGGACGGGUGGGUAACGCGUGAGAAUUUACCCUUUAGUGAAGAAUACCUCUGAGAAAUCAGGGUUAAUACUGCAUACGUCCCUACGGGGAGAAAGGUGGCCUCUUUGCUGCCGCUAAAGGAUAAGCUUGCGUACUAUUAGCUAGUUGGUGAGGUAAAGGCUCACCAAGGCGAUGAUGGUUAGCCGGCCUGAGAGGGUGUACGGCCACACUGGAACUUAGACACGGUCCAGACUCCUACGGGAGGCAGCAGUGAGGAAUAUUGCGCAAUGGGCGAAAGCCUGACGCAGCGACGCCGCGUGGAGGAUGAAGGUCUUCGGAUUGUAAACUCCUGUUAAGUGGGAAGAAAGACCUAUUUCUAAUACAGAUAGGGGAUGACGGUACCAUUAGAGAAAGCACCGGCUAACUUCGUG